CAUCUUACCUGGCAGGGAGAUACGAUGAUCACGAAGGUGGUUUUCCCAGGGCGAGACUUAUCCAUUGCAUUCCGGAUGUGCUGACCCCUGCGAUUUCCCCAAAUGUGGGAAACUCGACUGCAUAGUCUGUGGUAGUGGGGGACUGCGUUCGCGCUUUCCCCUG
ensembl:snRNA U1 U1 spliceosomal RNA